rnacentral:rRNA from 1 species
AACGAACGCUGGCGGCAGGCUUAACACAUGCAAGUCGAACGCCCCGCAAGGGGAGUGGCAGACGGGUGAGUAACGCGUGGGAAUCUACCCAGUUCUACGGAAUAACCCAGGGAAACUUGGACUAAUACCGUAUACGUCCUUCGGGAGAAAGAUUUAUCGGAGUUGGAUGAGCCCGCGUUGGAUUAGCUAGUUGGUGGGGUAACGGCCUACCAAGGCUACGAUCCAUAGCUGGUCUGAGAGGAUGAUCAGCCACACUGGGACUGAGACACGGCCCAGACUCCUACGGGAGGCAGCAGUGGGGAAUAUUGGACAAUGGGCGAAAGCCUGAUCCAGCCAUGCCGCGUGAGUGAUGAAGGCCUUAGGGUUGUAAAGCUCUUUCAGUGGGGAAGAUAAUGACGGUACCCACAGAAGAAGCCCCGGCUAACUUCGUGCCAGCAGCCGCCGUAAAAC